UCGAUUUCCUGACCUCAUGAUUCGCCCACCUCGGCCUCCCAAAGUGCUGGGAUUACAGGCGUGAGCCAGCGCGCCCGGCUUUUCUUGGUAUUUUUUCUAAAAGAUUUGUUAGUUCAUUUUGUCUAAGUAUUUUAUUUAAAAUACAUUUUUGUAUCAUUAAAGGAAAUAAUCCAACUUUAUUUUAUCAGUGUUGAUACUACAGCUUUUAACCGUUGGUUGUAUUGACAAAUUUGAACAAUGAAAUUUUUUGACCCCUGAGCAAGAAUAUGUUGAAGAGUGUGUUUUAUAUUCACAUCUUUUUGAAUUUGCCAUCUGACUUUUGCUUUUAAUUCCUAGUUUCAUUCAGUUUUUGUUAGAAAGCACAGUGUAAGGCCCCGCCCAGCUGGGCGCGGGCGGGUGGCAUCGCCUGUAAGAGCACCCCAGUGUUUUGGGGACCGCGGGCUGAGCGCACUGACCUGGUGCGCAUGUCCCGGGCGGUGACACCGGCGCCCAGCUCCAUGUGUGCGGCCCCGGGGCGUAUUAUCUGGCCAGUGGCGCUGGCGGGCCAGCAGACAGGCUGAGCGAGCACAGAUGAGCGAGCGUGGCGGACCUGGGCGGCCCCACAGGCAUAACAAGCACGCGUGGCCCAGCGCCCCCGGCCCCAAUGCCACCCGGCCCCACGGGCGACCCCGGACCCGCAGCCCCACUAACCCGCGCGCUGCCCAGGGCCUGGCCGACCCACGGCCUGGUUGGUCAGCACGUCGUCUCAAGUAGGUAGCCUUUUGACGUCACUGUGGCCAUGACCAACUGGUAGGACCAGCACCCCAUACCGCGAAGCCAGUUCAGAAUGACCGAAGAAGCAUGCCAAAAACGGAGUCAGAAACGAGCGCUUGAACUGGACCCAACAGAGGACGACGUGGAGAGCAAGAAAAUAAAAAUGGAGAGAGGAUUGUUGGCUUCAGAUUUAAACACUGACAGAGACAUAAGGGUGACACCUGAGCCGGGGGCGGGUCCAGCCCAAGGAUUGCUGAGGGCAACAGGGGCCACGACGGUGGCCAUGGGCACAGACGAAGGUCUGGUGGGCGAUGGACCCGUGGACAUGCCCUCCUCACACAGUGACAUGAAAUCUGAGAGAAGACCCCCCCUUACCCGACAUGACUGUACUCUCCCACAACGAGCAGCCCUCCAGCCCGAGAGAGAAUGGGCUGAUCACGGUGGCCUUGAAGGAGACUAGCGCCGAGGCUGUCAUGAAAAGCAACCCGAAAGAACGAGAAAGGAUAUUCAAGCAGCUGAAAGAAGAGUUGAGGUUAGAAGCAGCAAAACUCGUUUUGUUGAAAAAGUUGCGGAGGAGUCAAAUACGAAAGGAAGCCACCGCCCAGAAGCCCGCAGGUUCUGUCUGGAGCGCCGUGACCACCCCUCCGCCGCUUGUUCGGAGCACUCAGAACAUUCCUGCUGGCAAGCCGUCACCCCAGAUCUCUUCAGCUCGGAUGUCUGGCAGUGUCAUACCCCCACCCCUGGUCCGAGGUGGGCAGCAGGUGUCCUUGAAGCUGGGGCUGCAGGAGAACUCGCAGGUCGUCAUGACCCCGCUGGUCAGGGGGCCCCAGCAAAUCCAUAGCAUUAUGCAACAUUCCAGCACAGGCCCACCGCCCCUCCUGGCCCCCCGGGCAUCGGUGCCCAGUGUGCAGAUUCAGGGACAGAGGAUCGUCCAGCAGGGCCUCAUCCGCAUUGCCAGUGUUCUCAACACCAGCCUGCUCAUCAACAUCCCACAGCCCACCCCAGCAUCACUGAAGGGGAGGACAGCCUCCUACGCUCAGGCCAACUCCACCCUCACUAGCGUGGCCUCUGUGGUCACCUCCACCGAGUCUUCAGCAAGCCGACAGGCAGCCGCCAAGGUGGCGCUGCGCAAACAGCUGGAGAAGACGCUACUCGAGAUUCCCCCCACCCGAGCGCCCAGCCCCGGAGAUGAACUUUCUGCCCAGCGCCCCCAACAGUGAGUUCAUCUACCUGGUCAGCCUGGAGGAGGUGGUGCAGAACCUACUGGAGACACAAGCGGCCAGGAUGUUGGCCGCCACUGUGCUGUCCCGGGAGCCCUACAUGUGUGCACACUGCAAGAUGGACUUCAUGUGCCGCUGGCGGGAGGAGAAGAGCGGCGCCAUCACGUGUGAGAACUGCAUGAGGACCAACCAGAAGAAGGCGCUCAAGGUGGAGCACACCAGCUGGCUGAAGGCCGCCUUCCUGAAGGCGCUGUAGCAGCAGCAGGAGAUUGAGCAGCAGCUCCUGCAGCAGGGCGCAGCCUCUGCUGCACAGGCUAAGGCCGAGACCGCCGCUGCCCCACAUCCCACGCUGAAGCAGGUCAUACAACUCCGGCGUAGGUUGGCAUUCCGCUCAGGAGAGGCCUGCGACUAGAGUAACGGGGCUGUGCUACAGGCCUCUAGCCUGCUGUCCCAGGGUUCGACCAUGACGCCCCGAGGUGUCCUGCACACGUUCAGUCAGUCACCCAAACUGCAGAACUCAGCCUUGGCCACAGCCCUGGUCAGCAGGAUCGGCAGACAUUCCGAAUGAACCUGUCAAGGGCAGCAGCACCUCCAACUGGAAGAAGAUGCACAGGCGGGACCCUUGUGUUUGUCAGCCCAAGCGUGGUGGUGCACAAGAGCUCCUCGGCUGUGGACCGCCAGCGAGAGUACCUCCUGGACAUGAUCCCACCCCGCUCCAUCCCCCAGACAGCCACGUGGAAAUAGUGUGAGCCAGGCCCCGUGGAAGACGGGCUCCCUCCUUCCCCACCUGGCCCCCAGUCUAGAAGGACCCACUGCACCACCCUCCGCUGGCUUGGGAAGACACCGUGGCCGUCCCAAGAGCAAGCACCGGCCGUGCUGCAGAGGCGAGACCUCAAUUCUUGGCUGCAAAGUUUCAUCAGGGUUGGGGGGCUGGUGCCACCUCAUAGGCGGACAAGGAUCAUCGCUGGGGAACCUUUCCCGUGGGCUUUCUUCCUUUCUCUCUUUGCCUUUAGUUUGCCCGACACCAGCAGAAAAGUGGACCUUGGGGGCUGGUUCCGCUCCCGGCCCCCUUGUUCGGCCCCUGCCGGCACACGGGCGGCUCACCCUGGACACUGUGACGCGCAUGGGCAAGGCCAGCGCCCGGGGCUUCUGAACUGAGCAGGGCGUUUCGUUUUGUUUUUGCUUUUCCACGUCUUAGGCUCCCAAUCUUUGACUGCCUUCCCAUGGCGAUCUGUAAGGUGAAAGAUUUUUUUUUUUUUUUUUUUUUAAAUCACCUCAUAAUGAUGGAGUUAAAAGUAAACCGUGCAGACUCUGGGGUCUUUGUUGUGCGCUGCGCCGUCCCGCUGGCCCUGUGCCCUGGAGGGUGGGCGGCUUAUGGUGCCACAGCCCCUGGCAGGGACGGCCGGCCCGCCCGGGUAACUGAUGGACAAAUGCAGGAUGACAGAGGCAGCCCUCGCUCUGGCUGAACGCCUCCACUGCUGCUUGUUCUGGAGACCCCCGCCCCCGGACCUCCCAGACUUAACAGAAGAACAAACUGAGGAACACACCCAGCCAGAGAAGCAGGGAUUCUAGAAGCUGCCCAUGAAGGCCAGAAGCUGCCCGUGAAGGGAGGAGGAGAGGAUCCGGUCGGCAGCAGCCCCGAGCAGGAAGCUGGAGUGGGGACUGUUGCGGGGUUUUUCUGUUGUGGUUUAUUUUAUUAAAUUCUUUCCUUUUUUCUAUUCA